rnacentral:sRNA from 1 species
GUUAUUAAACCUGUUUCUGUGGGUAGACAGAUACUCUGGGAGGAGAAGGCCUUCUCAGGUUUUCCUUACCUGGGAGUGUUCACCGUUUUAUGCUUGGCUUGUUGCUAAGUGUUGCUGAUUAAUGCAGCGGCGUCGACAGUGUGAUCUCAUUCAGAGUUUCACUCAUGUCCCAGGCCCCAUGGUAAGCGUGUCACAGUCACUGGCUUUCAGACGCAUGGUCUUACCAGCUUUGACUUUUUUUUUUUAAACGAGAGUGCUAAAAUCACUGCCAUUGUGUUUCUGGCCGUAAAGUGGCAGAGCCAGGACCGCAUCAGGCGCCUGGUGCCCAGCCUGCACUCCCCUGAUGCUGGGUCAGAAUGCUUACCCCUGAAGGAGCCCUGCGGUGGACGCCGUGGGUGCAAGCCCAGUGUCGGGGUGCCAGGCUCCCAGCAGCAGGAGGGGCUGCUGUUCCUGUGGUGACGUGUUGCUUGCAGCCAGCUCAGUUAAGAACUGGGUCACUCAUGCCCUUGAAUGUCACAUUUGUUUUGGCUUCAGGUCAGAUGCUUUUAGUGAGGGCAGCAGAGUGUGUCCCGGGAUAUGUGGCUCCCUCGGUGUGGUCCUCAAGUUUUGCAAUGAGAGGUCUGUUAAUUUCAUGUGGGUGAUGCAGCCCUGUGCAGGCGCCGACAUCCAGGUGUGCCGUAGAGUUCUCUGCGACAUCCAGGUGUGCCGUAGAGUUCUCUGCGACAUCCAGGUGUGCCGUAGAGUUCUCUGCAGACCGCGGUGCCUGUGGAGCACUCAGCUGUGGCCACACCGCGGCCAGGACACUGGAGUAGCGCUGUGUGGUGCUUAUGUCACGCUCGCCUUUUGCUUCUCCCUGUGCAUGGCAGGUCAUUCCUCCAGGACAGCCGAGCUGGGCCGACCAGGAGUACCGGGGCUCCUUCACCUGUCGCAUUUGGCAGUUUGGACGCUGGGUGGAGGUGACCACAGAUGACCGCCUGCCGUGCCUUGCAGGGAGACUCUGUUUCUCCCGCUGCCAGAGGGAGGAUGUGUUCUGGCUCCCCUUACUGGAAAAGGUCUACGCCAAGUGCGUGUGCUGGGGGCUGAAGGGCCUGGCCUGGGGCAAGUGGGAGCUGCCACUACCAUGGGCUGCCCCAGGAGGGUCUCUGCUCACUCUGGGCUGCAGAGCCCCCAUCAGUUCUGAGGGUCUGGCAGCUCGUUCUGUGAGUCAGGCUGACUGGCUAGGUGCAGAGAUUCUUCUUUUGGGCCUGUGGUUUGCCCACUCCCUGCUUUCCCUUCCCUUGUUCCAAAGCCCAGCGUGGAGUCGUUCUCCACAGAGAACAUGUGUGCCGUCCUCCUUAUUUUAUCGGCCCCAGCAAGAAAGAUGCUUCUUUAUAUUUGUUGUGGAAUGGUUGGGACAGGCAGACUCAUUGUGUAGUCGUUGGAGAGGAAUGAGACUACCCCAGCAUACCAACACUUGUGUAUCACGGUGCUUGCUGGCUCAGGGGACCAGGACCCUCACCAUGAGUCAUAAUUGAAUAGCCUUCCCUCUUAGAAUGCAUUUGUCUUCUUGCCAAAGGCAACUGGACUGACAGGCAGGCAGGGAAGCUGGUGAACAUGGGAAGCCUGGCUGGUGACAUCAGUGCCCAGUGAGCCCUUCCAUCCCAAGGGCUGUUUUAGGAAAAGCAGGGUUGGAGCUUGAGAGCCAAGGGAUGUGGGCAUCCAUAGCUUCCACGCCUCCUGCCCUGCUCCUGUGCCCACACCGGAGGCCAGAGAGUUUCUGUGUGUGGGCAGAGGACUGCAGGGCGCUCACGCUUGCUGCGAAGUAAGGCGUUUGAAGGUGAGGCUAAGCCUUGACUUGGCGAGGAUGAGGAAGAAGGCAGAGGGGAGUAAAGAGGUGGGAUUGAGGCAGCGGUUGGACGAUUUGGGGUGCUACAGACCAUGGGAAUCAGAGAGGGGGCCAUGCUCAAUGCCAGAGGCUCACUCCCAUGGUGAUUGUGUCCCCUAGGGUCCAUGGGUCCUACGAGCACCUGUGGGCAGGGCAGGUGGCGGAUGCCCUGGUGGACCUGACCGGCGGCCUGGCAGAAAGAUGGAACCUGAAGGGCGUAGCAGGAAGCGGAGGCCAGCAGGACAGGCCGGGCCGCUGGGAGCACAGGACUUGUCGGCAGCUGCUCCACCUGAAGGACCAGUGUCUGAUCAGCUGCUGCGUGCUCAGCCCCAGAGCAGGUGCCCGGGAGCUGGGGGAGUUCCAUGCCUUCAUUGUCUCGGACCUGCGGGAGCUCCAGGGUCAGGCGGGCCAGUGCAUCCUGCUGCUGCGGAUCCAGAACCCCUGGGGCCGGCGGUGCUGGCAGGGGCUCUGGAGAGAGGGGGGUGAAGGGUGGAGCCAGGUAGAUGCAGCGGUAGCAUCUGAGCUCCUGUCCCAGCUCCAGGAAGGGGAGUUCUGGGUGGAGGAGGAAGAGUUCGUCAGGGAGUUUGACGAGCUCACCGUUGGCUACCCGGUCACGGAGGCCGGCCGCCUGCAGAGCCUCUACACAGAGAGGCUGCUCUGCCAUACGCGGGCGCUGCCUGGGGCCUGGGUCAAGGGCCAGUCAGCAGGAGGCUGCCGGAACAACAGCGGCUUUCCCAGCAACCCCAAAUUCUGGCUGCGAGUCUCAGAACCGAGUGAGGUGUACAUUGCCGUCCUGCAGAGAUCCAGGCCGCACGCGGCGGACUGGGCAGGCCGGGCCCGGGCACUGGUGGGUGACAGUCAUACUUCGUGGAGCCCAGCGAGCAUCCCGGGCAAGCACUACCAGGCUGUGGGUCUGCACCUCUGGAAGGGUGUGACACUUGGCACCACACUGUUCCCUGUCCCUUCAUGGAUGUGGCCCACAUGAUGUUCCUUUCCUCUUGCAAAAGAAGUUGCUGGAAGGCCCACUGUCCAGCAGCCCCCAGGUUGCCUGGGCCACGGUGCCUUUGUGGGCCCAGCUACAAGGAGGACUUGCAGGCUCGUGUCUGGGACAGAUACUGGCCCCAGGGCCAAGUGAAGCCCGGGAUUGGUGGGCAUCUCUAGCUGGUCCCUGAGAGAGGGUGGAGGGUGCUGACAGGCCUUGGCGCUUUCAUCUGUCAACUCCAGAGGCCCCUGUGCUUGCAGCAGGGAGGCCAAGGCCAGGGCGUCUGACCCCGGCCGCUCCUCCACACUGAGCCUCCUGCACGUGCUCACAGGUGGAGAAGCGGCGGGUCAAUCUGCCUAGGGUCCUGUCCAUGCCCCCCGUGGCUGGCACCGCGUGCCACGCAUACGACCGGGAGGUCCACCUGCGUUGUGAGCUCUCACCGGGCUACUACCUGGCUGUCCCCAGCACCUUCCUGAAGGACGCGCCAGGGGAGUUCCUGCUCCGAGUCUUCUCUACCGGGCGAGUCUCCCUUAGCGCCAUCAGGGCAGUGGCCAAGAACACCGCCCCCGGGGCAGCCCUGCCUGCGGGGGAGUGGGGGACCGUGCAGCUACGGGGUUCUUGGAGAGUCGGCCAGACGGCGGGGGGCAGCAGGAACUUUGCCUCAUACCCCACCAACCCCUGCUUCCCCUUCUCGGUCCCCGAGGGCCCUGGCCCCCGCUGCGUCCGCAUCACUCUGCAUCAGCACUGCCGGCCCAGUGACACCGAGUUCCACCCCAUUGGCUUCCAUAUCUUCCAGGUCCCAGAGGGUGGAAGGAGCCAGGACGCACCCCCACUGCUGCUGCAGGAGCCACUGCUGAGCUGCGUGCCACAUCGCUACGCCCAGGAGGUGAGCCGGCUCUGCCUCCUGCCUGCGGGCACCUACAAGGUUGUGCCCUCCACCUACCUGCCGGACACAGAGGGGGCCUUCACAGUGACCAUCGCAACCAGGAUUGACAGGCCAUCCAUUCACAGCCAGGAGAUGCUGGGCCAGUUCCUCCAAGAGGUCUCCGUCAUGGCAGUGAUGAAAACCUAACAGGGUGGCCCCCUGUGCCAGCCCAGGUGACUGGAGCCCAAGGGCCUGACAGGUUCCCAGCAGCUGGGCCGGCCAGCCUUGCACUGUGGGGGCUGGUCCUGAGUCUUGGCCUGCCUCCCAGCCCUGCCAGGGGGCUGCGGCCUAGGGGUCCACGGGAAGCCUCUGUCAGGAGAGACACAGCCCUGGGGGCGAGCUGGUGCUGCAAGGAAGGGUGGGAAGCUUGGUGGCUUCUGUUGCGCCACUGAGACGGCAGAGACCCCAGGAUCCCAGAGCUUCCCAGGAUCCCUCCCAGAUCCUCUGCUGACUCCAUAUGAAGGCCUCACACCCAGAGGGUAGGGCAGCAGAUCUUCUUUAUAACUAUUUAUUGUUCGAAUCACUUUUAGGAUGUAACUUUAUAAAUAAACAUGAGCGCUGAGGAUUUGC